rnacentral:tRNA from 1 species
GGGGAUUUAACUCAGUGGUAGAGUGCUUGCCUUGCAAGCACAAGGCCCUGGGUUCGGUCCCCAGCUCUG